rnacentral:misc_RNA from 1 species
GAUGAAGAACGUAGCGAAAUGCGAUAAGUAAUGUGAAUUGCAGAAUUCAGUGAAUCAUCGAAUCUUUGAACGCACCUUGCACCCUUUGGCAUUCCGAAGGGUAUGCUCGUUUGAGUGUCAUUGUACUCUCACUCUCCCGAUGCUUUUGGAUCGGGAGUGGUGGACUUGGGUGUUGCUGCUUUGCUGUGGCUCGCCUCAAAUGGAGUAGUGCAACUCUUGGUUGGACAUAGUACGGCGUGAUAAGUGUCUUCGCCGGCGCCUCAUUAUAGAGGGUGGCCGAUCGGGAGCUCUGUGCUUCAAACCGUCUUCGGACAACAUCUGACAACUUGACCUCAAAUUGAGUAGGACUACCCGCUGAACUUAAGCAUAUCAAUAAGCGGAGGA